GAUGAACGCUGGCGGCGUGCCUAACACAUGCAAGUCGAGCGAGAUGUAUAUGGACGAAACUUCGGUCUAGGAAAUAUAUUGACAGCGGCGGACGGGUGAGUAACGCGUAGGAAACCUGCCCUUAACACAGGGAUAGCCUCGGGAAACCGGGAUUAAAACCUGAUAAUGCCAAAUAGUCACAUGGCUGUUGGGCCAAAGAUUUAUCGGUUAAGGAUGGGCCUGCGUCUGAUUAGUUUGUUGGUGGGGUAACGGCCUACCAAGACUACGAUCAGUAGCCGACCUGAGAGGGUGAUCGGCCACAUUGGAACUGAGACACGGUCCAAACUCCUACGGGAGGCAGCAGUGGGGAAUAUUGCACAAUGGGCGAAAGCCUGAUGCAGCAACGCCGCGUGAGCGAUGAAGGCCUUUGGGUCGUAAAGCUCUGUCCUUGGGGAAGAAAAAAAUGACGGUACCCAAGGAGGAAGCCCCGGCUAACUACGUGCCAGCCGCCGCAGUAACAC
rnacentral:rRNA from 1 species